rnacentral:rRNA from 1 species
UACGAAGGGGGCUAGCGUUGCUCGGAAUCACUGGGCGUAAAGCGCACGUAGGCGGAUUGUUAAGUCAGGGGUGAAAUCCUGGAGCUCAACUCCAGAACUGCCUUUGAUACUGGCGAUCUUGAGUCCGGGAGAGGUGAGUGGAACUGCGAGUGUAGAGGUGAAAUUCGUAGAUAUUCGCAAGAACACCAGUGGCGAAGACGGCUCACUGGUCCGGUACUGACGCUGAGGUGCGAAAGCGUGGGGAGCAAACAGG